AUGGAACAGAUUUGGGUUUGCAGAGAGAGAGAGAACGAGCAAAUGUUAGAAAGUGGAAGAGGGUGAUCUUACAUCUAAUAGAAGCCCUAAUUUCAUUAUUCUGAUGACAAGUUUUAUAUUGUUUUGAACAAUGAUGAUAUUCAGAUCUGGAUGGAGCUUUCCCUCUUCUUAAAGGUGUUAUUGCGACAACUGAUGUUAUGAAGCUUGUAAAGGUGUUGAUGUUGCAAUAAUGCUCGGUGGAUUCCCUCAUAGAAAAGAUGAUAACAAGGAUUUAAUAUUUAGUAAUGUUGCUAUACAUAAAGCUCAAGCUUCGGCUUUGGAACAGCAUGCUGAUCCAGAUUGCAAGGUGCUUGUGGUCGCUGAUCCUGCAUAUACAAAUGCACUAAUCUUGAAAGAAUAUGCAACUUCGAUCCCAGAAGAGAAUAUUACAUCCCUCACAAGAUUAGAUCAUAAUCGUGCAUUAAACCAGAUAGCAGAGAAAGUAAAUGUAAAU
rnacentral:lncRNA from 1 species